rnacentral:rRNA from 1 species
UACGUAGGGUGCAAGCGUUGUCCGGAAUUAUUGGGCGUAAAGAGCUCGUAGGCGGCUAGUCGCGUCGGCUGUGAAAACCUGGGGCUCAACCCCGGGCCUGCAGACGAUACGGGCUAGCUAGAAUUCGGUAGGGGAGACUGGAAUUCCUGGUGUAGCGGUGAAAUGCGCAGAUAUCAGGAGGAACACCGAUGGCGAAGGCAGGUCUCUGGGCCACUACUGACGCUGAGAAGCGAAAGCGUGGGGAGCGAACAGG